GACGAACCGUGCGAACGUUAUUCGGAAUCACUGGGCUUAAAGCGCGUGUAGGCGGAUGGGAACGUCGGUAGUUGAAAGCCCCCGGCUCAACCGGGGAAGUGGUGCCGAAACGACCCGUCUGGAGGGACGUAGGGGGACCUGGAACUUCCGGUGGAGCGGUGAAAUGCGUUGAGAUCGGAAGGAACGCCCGUGGCGAAAGCGAGGUCCUCGGACGUUUAGUGACGCUGAGACGCGAAAGCCAGGGGAGCGAACGGG
rnacentral:rRNA from 1 species